rnacentral:rRNA from 1 species
UUGUUGGUAAGGUAAAAGCUUACCAAGGCUUCGAUCAGUAGCUGGUCUGAGAGGACGACCAGCCACACUGGGACUGAGACACGGCCCAGACUCCUACGGGAGGCAGCAGUGGGGAAUUUUGGACAAUGGGGGCAACCCUGAUCCAGCCAUGCCGCGUGAGUGAAGAAGGCCUUCGGGUUGUAAAGCUCUUUCAGCCGGAACGAAACGGUUACGGUUAACACCCGUGACUACUGACGGUACCGGAAGAAGAAGCACCGGCUAACUACGUGCCAGCAGCCGCGGUAAUACGUAGGGUGCGAGCGUUAAUCGGAAUUACUGGGCGUAAAGGGUGCGCAGGUGGUUUUGUAAGUCAGAUGUGAAAGCCCCGGGCUCAACCUGGGAACUGCGUUUGAAACUACAAGACUAGAGUGUGGCAGAGGGGGGUGGAAUUCCGCGUGUAGCAGUGAAAUGCGUAGAGAUGUGGAGGAACACCGAUGGCGAAGGCAGCCCCCUGGGUCAACACUGACGCUCAGGCACGAAAGCAUGGGGAGCAAACAGGAUUAGAUACCCUGGUAGUCCAUGCCCUAAACGAUGUCAACUAGUUGUCGGGCCUUUACGGGCUUGGUAACGUAGCUAACGCGUGAAGUUGACCGCCUGGGGAGUACGAUCGCAAGAUUAAAACUCAAAUGAAUUGACGGGGACCCGCACAAGCGGUGGAUUAUGUGGAUUAAUUCGAUGCAACGCGAAAAACCUUACCUACCCUUGACAUGUAUCGAAGCYCGCAGAAAAGCGGGGGUGCCCGAAAGGGAACGAUAACACAGGUGCUGCAUGGCUGUCGUCAGCUCGUGUCGUGAGAUGUUGGGUUAAGUCCCGCAACGAGCGCAACCCUUGUCAUUAAUUGCCAUCAUUAGUUGGGCACUUUAAUGAGACUGCCGG